rnacentral:rRNA from 1 species
GACGGAGGAUGCAAGUGUUAUCCGGAAUCACUGGGCGUAAAGCGUCUGUAGGUGGUCAAAUAAGUCAACUGUUAAAUCUUGAGGCUCAACCUCAAAAUCGCAGUCGAAACUAUUCGACUAGAGUAUAGUAGGGGUAAAGGGAAUUUCCAGUGGAGCGGUGAAAUGACGUAGAUAUCAAGAGGAACACCAGUGGCGAAGGCGAGUCCCUGGACGAUACCUGACACUGAGGCACGAAAGCUAGGGGAGCAAACAGG